rnacentral:rRNA from 1 species
GACGAACGCUGGCGGCGUGCUUAACACAUGCAAGUCGAACGGAAAGGCCCUGCUUUUGUGGGGUGCUCGAGUGGCGAACGGGUGAGUAACACGUGAGUAACCUGCCCUUGACUUUGGGAUAACUUCAGGAAACUGGGGCUAAUACCGGAUAGGAGCUCCUGCUGCAUGGUGGGGGUUGGAAAGUUUCGGCGGUUGGGGAUGGACUCGCGGCUGAUCAGCUUGUUGGUGGGGUAGUGGCUUACCAAGGCUUUGACGGGUAGCCGGCCUGAGAGGGUGACCGGCCACAUUGGGACUGAGAGACGGCCCAGACUCCUACGGGAGGCAGCAGUGGGGAAUAUUGCACAAUGGGCGGAAGCCUGAUGCAGCAACGCCGCGUGCGGGAGGACGGCCUUCGGGUGGUAAACAGCUUUCGCCUGUGACGAAGCGUGAGUGACGGUAAUGGGUAAAGAAGCACCGGCUAACUACGU